CCUACGGGAGGCAGCAGUGGGGAAUAUUGGGCAAUGGAGGCAACUCUGACCCAGCAACGCCGCGUGAAUGAUGAAGGUCUUCGGAUUGUAAAGUUCUUUUUUUAGGGAAGAAGAAUGUGACGGUACCUCAGGAAUAAGCCUCGGCUAACUACGUGCCAGCAGCCGCGGUAAUACGUAGGAGGCAAGCGUUAUCCGGAUUGACUGGGUGUAAAGGGUGCGUAGGUGGGUUGACAAGUUAGUAGCGCAAUUCCGGGGCUCAACUGCGAAACUACUACUAAAACUGUUGGACUUGAGUGCAGGAGAGGCAAUCGGAAUUCCUAGUGUAGCGGUGGAAUGCGUAGAUAUUAGGAAGAACACCAGUGGCGAAGGCAGAUUGCUAGACUGUAACUGACACUGAGGCACGAAAGCGUGGGGAGCAAACAGGAUUAGAUACCCUUGUAGUC
rnacentral:rRNA from 1 species